UACAGGGGGGGCAAGCGUUGUUCGGAAUUACUGGGCGUAAAGGGCUCGUAGGCGGCCAACUAAGUCGGACGUGAAAUCCCCAGGCUCAACCUGGGAACUGCGUCUGAUACUGGAUGGCUUGAAUCCGGGAGAGGGAUGCAGAAUUCCAGGUGUAGCGGUGAAAUGCGUAGAUAUCUGGAGGAAUACCGGUGGCGAAGGCGGCAUCCUGGACCGGCAUUGACGCUGAGGAGCGAAAGCCAGGGGAGCAAACGGG
rnacentral:rRNA from 1 species